UGUUAAAAAUUUCAUCCAUUUGUAUAGUUAAAAAUUGGCAUGGUUGACAGAAUAAUAAUACAAUAACCUGUGACAUGCCAUGUGUACCUCAUGCUGAUAUACAGGGACCAAUUUUUAACAGCAGAAAUGGAUAAAAAAUUUUAACA
rfam:Gossypium arboreum cultivar AKA8401 contig_1311_15, whole genome shotgun sequence.